UACGAAGGGGGCUAGCGUUGCUCGGAAUCACUGGGCGUAAAGCGCACGUAGGCGGUUUGCUAAGUCAGGGGUGAAAUCCUGGAGCUCAACUCCAGAACUGCCUUUGAUACUGGCGGACCUGAGUCCGGGAGAGGUGAGUGGAACUGCGAGUGUAGAGGUGAAAUUCGUAGAUAUUCGCAAGAACACCAGUGGCGAAGGCGGCUCACUGGCCCGGUACUGACGCUGAGGUGCGAAAGCGUGGGGAGCAAACAGG
rnacentral:rRNA from 1 species